rnacentral:lncRNA from 1 species
GAGACUGUUUAGACACUACUUUAGAAAAGGCAUUUUUUUUGGUGUUGCUACUAGGAAAUUGUGUGUGUGUGUGUGUGUGUGUGUGUGUGUGUGUGUGUGUGUGUUUUCAGUGUCUCUAGCAGCUGAAAGUAUGCAAGAGCUAAAAUGCAGCUACAGCUGGAGCUAACUCCCAUUCAUUCAUCAUUGUCACUUCACGAAUUAGGAGCCAGCAGACCAUUUCUCUCACUUUACUUCAGCUCCUUUUCAGAACGAGUGCAGAUUCAGAGAAGAAGGUGGAGCAAGAUGGCAGAAUAAUUGUCCCUCCAAUAAGGACAUCAAGUUAACGACUACCUACACAGAAAAACAGCUUCAUAAGAACGAAAAUCAGAACUAAUUCGACUGUUGAUGCCCAUCGGACAAAUACUAUCAGGAACACAGCAACAUGAAUGCAGCUAGAUGCCAUUAUCUGAAGUGAACUAAUAGAGAAAUAGAAAACCAAAUACCACGUGUUCUUACCUGUAAGUGGGAGCUAAACACUGAGUACAAAUGAACAUUAAAAUGGAAACAGACACUGGGGACUACAAGAAAGGGGAAGGGCAGGAGGGCAAGG